AACACUGUUAACCUGCGGUACCUGCGGAGGGAUCAUUAUAGUAUAUGGAAUCUCCAUUCUAUAAGCCCACUCUGCGUAUCUUGUAACUGUUGCUUCCAUGGGACUUGGUUCCGCCACACCGGCUUCACGGCUGGUGAGCGCCCAUGGAAGGAGAAACAAAACUCUUCUUUGAAAUGUAGUCAGUCUGAACAAGUUUUUAUAAACGUUAAAACUUUUAACAACGGAUCUCAGAUCGGAAGA
rnacentral:misc_RNA from 1 species